rnacentral:rRNA from 1 species
GUCUACGGCCAUACCACCCUGAACGCGCCCGAUCUCGUCUGAUCUCGGAAGCUAAGCAGGGUCGGGCCUGGUUAGUACUUGGAUGGGAGACAAAUUAAAGAAAUGAAUUCCAGUUAGGCA